rnacentral:rRNA from 1 species
GACGAACGCUGGCGGCGUGCUUAACACAUGCAAGUCGAACGGAAAGGCCCUGCUUUUGUGGGGUGCUCGAGUGGCGAACGGGUGAGUAACACGUGAGUAACCUGCCCUUGACUUUGGGAUAACUUCAGGAAACUGGGGCUAAUACCGGAUAGGAGCUCCUGCUGCAUGGUGGGGGUUGGAAAGUUUCGGCGGUUGGGGAUGGACUCGCGGCUUAUCAGCUUGUUGGUGGGGUAGUGGCUUACCAAGGCUUUGACGGGUAGCCGGCCUGAGAGGGUGACCGGCCACAGUGGGACUGAGAUACGGCCCAGACUCCUACGGGAGGCAGCAGUGGGGAAUAGUGCACAAUGGGCGGAAGCCGGAUGCAGCAACGCCGCGUGCGGGAUGACGGCCUUCGGGUUGUAAACCGCUUGCGCCUGUGACGAAGCGUGAGUGACGGUAAUGGGUAAAGAAGCACCGGCUAACUACGUG